rnacentral:tRNA from 1 species
CAAACAAAUUGGUUUUAUUGGUUUUAGAGACGAAUAAACCCAGAUUAUUAAGUCCCCCGUCGGGCGGGGUUAGUUUGA